CAGAAUAAUAAAUUAUAUAACAAAAUAUUCAAGGUAUAUUUGUUCGGGAAAAAUUUGACAACUACAAGUCGAACAGUGACAAAGUUUUUUUCUUCUCUUUCUCUGUUUCAAGAGCCAAUUUCCCAUCAUCAUCAUCAUCACCAUUUAUUCUCAUGGUUUCAUUUGGGUGUUUUCAAUGCCAAACAUUAAACGUGCGUGUGUGUGUGUGUUUGACGACCAUUAACAUUAUUAUUUCAGCCAAUAUUUAUUCCAUUCCAGAAUUCCUAGGAAUUUCUGUUCAUUUUUACUACUCCUCCUCCUCUCUGUUCUUAUUUUCACUUGUCAUACCAACCAUUGAUUAGUUGUGAUAUAUCACAUGAUGAUGAUAAACACACAGUUGACUAUCAUCAGGAUCGAAUGAUCGGGUGAUUUUUGGGUGUUGGAACACCAGGCGUCAUUAUCCUUUAUACAAUUUAUAAUUUUGAAAUACAAGAGAUGCGCCACCUAUCAAUUAAACAAAUAACUUUUUACAUAA